CGGUGCUUGAUAUCGCUCACAUAAUUCUAGUAAGACAAACUAAAGCUAAACUGAUUUGAUAGCUUCGUUAUUCAGAGAUGACACCGGCGAACAGCGCUUUACGGAAAUCAAGUAUUUCAAGGAUAUGUAAAGCAUAAGUGAAGAGACAGAGAUAGACAGCUACACUGCUGAGUGAACCAAAGUCAGGCUGAACUGAGCAGAAUGGAGUCAAGUGCAAUACAAUAUGCAAAAUCAGUCUUAUGUAUUGUGGCACCCCUGAUGAAAUCAUAGACGACGAAACGCGUUGGAUGAUAUAAUCUCUGGAGUAACAAAUAAAAGGAAAAAAAGAUGUCUACCAAUCAUUUGUUUAAAAACUGGAUUGUACCUGCAUAUCAAUCAUUGUCUUGGUAUAAGGUUUUAAGAUGAACGAUUUUAAGAAAGCAUUUUAAUAAA